UCCAUUGCUGCCCGCCUCCGCGCCGCCAAGCUGCCGGCGUCCACCAUGGCCUGCUUCGACUGGGACCGCAUCCCCCAUCCGCCUGCCACACAUGGUCCGCCUUUCUCUCUCGACGACUCCCUAUUUGCCACCGGAGUUCAUACACUCGCCCACUUAUCUCUUGCGAACAACAUUCACCUUAUGGUGAUCUUCACGUCCGCGUAUGCUUGGCUUUUUUUUAUGCACCCAAUGAUAUACUGACAAUGUCCACUUUUUGUUAUCUCUGGUCUUGGUUUGAUGAGGCCUGACCCUCGCCUGGCCCUCGGCUUCGACUACCUUGUUGGCUGCUGCCGCCGUCCAACUGCACUGCAACCAUGGUGGUGUGGUGGUGACGUAUGUCCUCCGAUACACCCUUUGAUUAAAGUCCCAUUCCAAGAAAGGAAAAAUUCAGUGGUUUCUUGGAGCUAUAUCAUGAAGAUAUAACUAUUCUUAUGUCUAUACAAUUCCAGAAGGUAUAUUCUGUGGAUCUGGAACCUCAGGAGAGGGAUUUUCAUAAUACAUUUGCAAGCAUUAGAAGGCUGGGAGCAAAGGCUUCUGCUGUCUGGGAGCAAAAGCCAAUAGGCAUCGCUGGAGGGGGGAAGAACAGGAAGUGAAAGCUCUAGUUUGCGAAAUGAAAAUUGAAUCCAUCGGAUGUAUUUGUUGUGGAUUUUUAUUUGCGACUCCAAAUCUGGAUUGUUAAUCUGUUGGACUAUUAAACUGGUUAUGUAGUGUCGAUCUUAUUUUUAUUGUCAAGUACAUGUGCUUUAUUCACUGUAAUCGUUAUACUCAUAUAUUAUAUAAUGGUAUCUGUUCAAAUUGUACCAAAA